rnacentral:rRNA from 1 species
UCGUCUUACGCCAUAUGUACUGAAAGAUUUCGGGAGACAUGGAGAGAGAGAGAGGA